rnacentral:lncRNA from 1 species
CAACUGUCUUGUUUAUGUAGCUCUACAGCUUCUUCCAUGAGCAAUCCAGGUCACAUUCUUUCCUGAGGUAUUACUUUGCUGUUCUAAAGAAGUAAUGUAGAUAACAAAGAAGCAUGAAGAAGUGUCGAAAGGUGGAGAAAGAACUGUUGCUGGUCAUUGGAGGAUCUGGUGCUAAUCAUACUGGAAACAAAGGAUGACUGGAGAACAAUACCACAAAACUUCUUUGUGACUGAGUUUAUCACAGAUGAAUGAUUAAAAAAUGUGGAAAGGGAAUUUCCUGAAGUCAAUAUCUAGUUAUGCUCAAAUCUAAUCUAUAGACAAAGAGGAAGCAUGCUAUUCAUACAGGUAUCAAAGAGUGUAAUUGAAAAUGAAAAAGUUU